UACGGAGGGUGCAAGCGUUAUCCGGAUUCACUGGGUUUAAAGGGUGCGUAGGCGGGUUGGUAAGUCCGUGGUGAGAUCCCCAAGCUUAACUUGGGAACUGCCGUGGAUACUAUCAAUCUUGAAUAUCGUGGAGGUAAGCGGAAUAUGUCAUGUAGCGGUGAAAUGCUUAGAUAUGACAUAGAACACCAAUUGCGUAGGCAGCUUACUACACGAUCAUUGACGCUGAGGCACGAAAGCGUGGGGAGCAAACAGG
rnacentral:rRNA from 1 species